GACAGAGGGUGCAAACGUUGUUCGGAAUUACUGGGCGUAAAGCGCGUGUAGGCUGCUCGGAAAGUCGGGUGUGAAAGCCCUGGGCUCAACCUAGGAAGUGCACUCGAAACUUCCGAGCUGGAGUUUCGGAGAGGAAGGCGGAAUUCUCGGUGUAGAGGUGAAAUUCGUAGAUAUCGAGAGGAACAUCGGUGGCGAAGGCG
rnacentral:rRNA from 1 species